GACGAACGCUGGCGGCGCGCUUAAUACAUGCAAGUCGAACGAGAAGCUCGGUGCUUGCACCGGGUGGAAAGUGGCGAACGGGUGAGUAACACGUGAGUAACCUGCCCCGGAGACUGGGAUAACUCGAGGAAACUCGGGCUAAUACCGGAUGUCUUCGCUGGACCGCAUGAUCCGGCGAAGAAAUGGUCAGCCGCUCCGGGAUGGACUCGCGGCCUAUCAGCUUGUUGGUGAGGUAACGGCUCACCAAGGCAACGACGGGUAGCUGGUCUGAGAGGACGAUCAGCCACACUGGGACUGAGACACGGCCCAGACUCCUACGGGAGGCAGCAGUAGGGAAUCUUGCGCAAUGGGGGAAACCCUGACGCAGCGACGCCGCGUGCGGGACGAAGGCCCUAGGGUUGUAAACCGCUUUCAGCAGGGACGAAAUUGACGGUACCUGCAGAAGAAGGCCCGGCCAACUACGUG
rnacentral:rRNA from 1 species